UGGGGAAUAUUGGACAAUGGGCGAAAGCCUGAUCCAGCCAUGCCGCGUGAGUGACGAAGGCCUUAGGGUUGUAAAACUCCUUCGUCGGGGACGAUAAUGACGGUACCCGAAGAAGAAGCUCCGGCUAACUUCGUGCCAGCAGCCGCGGUAAUACGAAGGGAGCUAGCGUUGUUCGGAAUCACUGGGCGUAAAGCGCACGUAGGCGGAUAGUUAAGUCAGGGGUGAAAUCCUGGGGCUCAACCCCAGAACUGCCUUUGAUACUGGCUGUCUCGAGGUCGAGAGAGGUUGGUGGAAUUCCUAGUGUAGAGGUGAAAUUCGUAGAUAUUGGGAAGAACACCAGUGGCGAAGGCGGCUAACUGGUCCGGUACUGACGCUGAGGUGCGAAAGCGUGGGGAGCAAACAGGAUUAGAUACCCGCGUAGUCCCUGAGCGGGCUGGCAAGGCGCAU
rnacentral:rRNA from 1 species